rnacentral:rRNA from 1 species
UACGAAGGGGGCUAGCGUUGCUCGGAAUCACUGGGCGUAAAGCGCACGUAGGCGGAUCUUUAAGUCAGGGGUGAAAUCCCAAGGCUCAACCUUGGAACUGCCUUUGAUACUGGGGAUCUCGAGUCCGGAAGAGGUGAGUGGAACUGCGAGUGUAGAGGUGAAAUUCGUAGAUAUUCGCAAGAACACCAGUGGCGAAGGCGGCUCACUGGUCCGGUACUGACGCUGAGGUGCGAAAGCGUGGGGAGCGAACGGG